rnacentral:rRNA from 1 species
AGUGAACGCUGGCGGUAGGCCUAACACAUGCAAGUCGAACGGCAGCACAGGAGAGCUUGCUCUCUGGGUGGCGAGUGGCGGACGGGUGAGGAAUACAUCGGAAUCUACUUUUUCGUGGGGGAUAACGUAGGGAAACUAACGCUAAUACCGCAUACGACCUACGGGUGAAAGCAGGGGACCUUCGGGCCUUGAGCGAUUGAAUGAGCCGAUGUCGGAUAAGCUAGUUGGCGGGGUAAAGGCCCACCAAGGCCACGAUCCGUAGCUGGUCUGAGAGGAUGAUCAGCCACACUGGAACUGAGACACGGUCCAGACUACUACGGGAGGCAGCAGUGGGGAAUAUUGGACAAUGGGCGCAAGCCUGAUCCAGCCAUACCGCGUGGGUGAAGAAGGCCUUCGGGUUGUAAAGCCCUUUUGUUGGGAAAGAAAUCCAGCUGGCUAAUACCCGGUUGGGAUGACGGUACCCAAAGAAUAAGCACCGGCUAACCUCGUGCCAGCCGCCGCAGUAA